CAUUCACUUGACAUCUGUUGGCGUGACUCUUCCUCCAACUGCAUCUCUACCUGAGAUUUUGAAGAACAGCGAAAACGGUUGACCCCUGCUUUCAACAUGUCUUCCUCUGCACACUGUUCCGGGUCCAAGUUCCUUGGGCGCCUUAAAAGUCCCAUCUGUAGCUCCAAUGCUGAGCAAGAAGACCACCAACUUCCCAAGUUUGAGCCCUUUGCGGAGGCUGUGGCAAUUCCCCGUGGCCCCUCCAGUGAUGCCACCCUGGAAUGUGUGAGAGUGGACAUGAUGCAAAAUGAGAACAAGAGCGACCACCACUGUCACUUGUACGAAGGCAAAAACAACAUUCUCAUCGUCCGUAGGGCUCAAGAGUUUCAGAUGACCCUCCAGUUCAACCAGCCUGUAAAUCCCAGUGACAAAUUCCAG